rnacentral:rRNA from 1 species
ACUAACGCUGGCGGUGCGUCUUAAACAUGCAAGUCAAACGGCUAAUUUCGGUUAGCAGUGGCGAACGGGUGAGUAAUACUUGAGUGAUCUACCUUAUAGUCUGAAAUAACUUUUUGAAAAAGAAGCUAAUGUCAGAUAGUCUUUUUCCUUCAUAAGAAAAAGUAAAGUAGCAAUAUGCUAUAAGAUGAGCUUGAGCAUGAUUAGCUUGUUGGUAAGGUAAUGGCUUACCAAGGCAAUGAUCAUUAACUGUCUUGAGAGAGAAAACAGUCACAAUGGAACUGAGAUACGGUCCAUACUCCUACGGGAGGCAGCA